rnacentral:lncRNA from 1 species
GCGAGGGAGGAGCGAGAGGCAGAUGCGGAGGUUGUUGUGACGCAUUCGGCGUCUCUCGCGCGUGCAGGCUGUGGUCGGCGGGGAACACAGUGGGCAGCAGGCGUCGGCUUUGCGCAGGGAUUGCAGAGGGGGUGCACGGAGGGAGCCAGGGGCGGUCGGCCUCGCCUAGUCGCUUCGGGCGUCGGCUUUGACAGGGGGCGGCGGCUUCGGGUUGGCGAGGCGCACUGCGAUGCCGACUUUGCAGGCGGGAGACACGGAGGCAGGGGCGUCGGCUUUGCAGACAGCAGACGUAGGUCGGCGGCCUUGCAGACGGAGGAAGCAACGGUUGAGUUCGUAGCGUCUCGUCGCUCCGGGCAGAGGGCGGCGCCGGUUGGGCGCGGUGGCUACGAGGGCAGCGCUGGGCAUGGCAGGGCAUCAGGCAGAGGCGGGGCAGAGGCGAGCGUCUGCUUUGCACAGCCUUGCAGCGAGAUUCGCGGGCAGAGGAAGAAUAGGCGGCUUGGAGGCGACGACUUUCGGCUCGCAUCCUAUGUGUUCGAUGGAAUGCCUGCAAGGAAAGAGAGGGGAAAGAGGAAGAGAGAGAGAUGGGGUGCUGGGCCACUGGCAGGUGGGGUCCAGGGUGCUUGGGCCCACUGA